AAAGCACAAUGAGCCUGAUGUUGAGGAGAAGGGCUGUGCAGCAGAGAGGCUGUUUAGUUGCUUGAUUCUACUGCAGUGGAAGAACAUUGUUCAUCUGCUGUCUGUUUGGCUUCAACAACUCCAAAGACAUGUUGCUUUACCUCUUUUUGCUUUUAUCUGACUUCAUAGCCAUGGGCUCCAUGAACAGCAUCAAGCCAGAAAGUACAGAAGAAGUUGUUGAAGAGGGAAGAACCAUCAGCCUGACCUGUAAAUAUGAGGGUUCUAUCAGGAAUAUUCAGUGGUACCGACAGAACCACAGAUCCAGACCAGAGUUCCUGCUCUCCAUCACAGAGUCAGGAUCGACUCAUCCAUCUCUUUCUGAUUUCUCAGCUCACAUUGACAAAACAGAGAAACGUGUAGAUCUGAAGAUCAUCUCAGCUAAAGUGACAGACUCUGCUGUGUACUACUGUGCUCUGAGGCCCACACCAGAGGAAACCAAUCAGUUAGAGAAGCUCACAAGAGAAGAGAAAAUCCAGAUCUAA